rnacentral:lncRNA from 1 species
ACGCUCUACGUGGUGGGCAGGGCCUGUGCGUUCUACGUUGAGGAUGGAGUGUGGGGCGUUCUACGUGAGGGCGGGAUGAGUGGGGCGGUCCAAUGUGGUAGGCGAGGCAUGGGCACACUUCUUGGAGAGCGGGACGUGAGGAGCUGGCGUUUACAUGGAGGGCGGGCAUUUAGGGGAGGUGUAUUUGGAAGGAGGACCUGGUGUCUGCCAUGUCUUGUGCCCCUCCUGGAUUCCGCUAGCCAUCUGGGCUAGAUUUUCUCCUCAAUGGGUCUGUUCCCACCCUGCUGCUUUCCAGAAAUCUGUUGUGCUUUGAAGACUUCUAUCCCUUUUGCCCAUAUGGUGAGUUUAAUACAUUAAAAAGAGCAUUCAUUUACAGUUAUUAUUUUUGUGUCUUCGGAAAAAACGGAUUUAAAUGCUUGUGGUCAGUCCGCCAUAUUUAAUUGGAAAAGUCAUAUCGUGUUCUCAUACUUUAGAAGUCUCUAGGUAUCUUAAUU